UAGCUCAGUUGGUAGAGCGCUCCACUUGAAAUGGAGAGGUCCCGGGUUCGAUACCUGG
rnacentral:tRNA from 1 species